rnacentral:misc_RNA from 1 species
GAUGAAGAACGUAGCGAAAUGCGAUAAGUAAUGUGAAUUGCAGAAUUCAGUGAAUCAUCGAAUCUUUGAACGCACAUUGCGCCAGCCAGUAUUCUGGCGGGCAUGCCUGUUCGAGCGUCAUUUCAACCAUCAAGCCCCAGGCUUGUGUUGGAGCCCUGCGGCUGCCGCAGCCUCCCAAAACCAGUGGCGGGCUCGCUAUCACACCGAGUGCAGUAGUUUACUCUUCGCUCAGGGCGUGUGGCGGGUGCUAGCCGUAAAACCCCCAACUUCUCAAGGUUGACCUCGGAUCAGGUAGGAAUACCCGCUGAACUUAAGCAUAUCAAUAAGCGGAGGA